AACGCUGGCGGCGUGCCUAAUACAUGCAAGUCGAACGGCUUUUCUAUGGAAGCUUGCUUCCACUGAGAAGAUAGUGGCGAACGGGUGAGUAACACGUGGGUAACCUGCCCAUAAGAGGGGGGAUAACAUCCGGAAACGGGUGCUAAUACCGCAUAGUUUUCUUGAUCGCAUGAUUGAGAAAGGAAAGACGGCCUUUGUGCUGUCGCUUAUGGAUGGACCCGCGGCGUAUUAGUUAGUUGGUGAGGUAACGGCUCACCAAGACGAUGAUACGUAGCCGACCUGAGAGGGUGAUCGGCCACAUUGGGACUGAGACACGGCCCAAACUCCUACGGGAGGCAGCAGUAGGGAAUCUUCCGCAAUGGACGAAAGUCUGACGGAGCAACGCCGCGUGAGUGAAGAAAAGGUUUUCGGAUCGUAAAACUCUGUUGUCAGAGAAGAACAAGUUGGAGAGUAACUGCUCCAGCCUUGACGGUAUCUGACCAGAAAGCCACGGCUAACUACGUGCCAGCCGCAGC
rnacentral:rRNA from 1 species